rnacentral:tRNA from 1 species
GCCGGAGUGGCGGAAUGGCAGACGCAGCGGAUUCAAAAUCCGCCGGGGUAACACCCGUGGGGGUUCGAGUCCCCCCUCCGGCACCA